GCUGCCAUCCCUAGAUCUGUUCUAUUGGAUCGUAUCAUUGUGUCCUUGAGUUUUAAGGAGACAAUAACCUAAGUCUGGUUGAUGAAUCAUGGUCGUGUGAUCAGAGCGUGAUUAAUGGCUCUGAUGGUCUCUCAUUGGAGAGUGCCAUCUGUGGCUGUGGAGGAUCAUUCUUAGUGAGGGUUCCUUGAUUGGGAUGGUUGCGAGGUUGUCUGACAGACU